rnacentral:rRNA from 1 species
UAACGGCGAGUGAAGCGGCAACAGCUCAAAUUUGAAAUCUGGCGUCUUUAGGUGCCCGAGUUGUAAUUUGCAGAGGAUGCUUUCGGCGACGUGCCUUCCGAGUUCCCUGGAAUGGGACGCCAUAGAGGGUGAGAGCCCCGUACGGUCUGGUGCCGAGCCGCUGUAAAGCUCCUUCGACGAGUCGAGUAGUUUGGGAAUGCUGCUCUAAAUGGGAGGUAAACUCCUUCUAAAGCUAAAUAUUGGCCAGAGACCGAUAGCGCACAAGUAGAGUGAUCGAAAGAUGAAAAGCACUUUGAAAAGAGAGUUAAAUAGCACGUGAAAUUGUUGAAAGGGAAGCGCUCAUGACCAGACUUGAGCUUGGUGGUUCAGCCGUUCGUUUGGGCGGUGCACUCUGCCGGUUCAGGCCAGCAUCAGUUGUCGGUUGGGGAGAAAGAUGGUGGGAAUGUGGCUCUUCGGAGUGUUAUAGCCCGCUAUUAUGCCCUCCUGGCGACUGAGGUUAGCGUUCUUCACGGAUGCUGGCGUAAUGGUUAUUAGCGACCCGUCUUGAAACACGGACCAAGGAGUCGUCCUGCUAUGCGAGUGUUUGGGUGCCAAACCCCUACGCGAAAUGAAAGUGAACGGAGGUGAGAGCUUCGGCGCAUCAUCGACCGAUCCUGAAGUUUACGGAUGGAUUUGAGUAAGAGCAUAGCGGGCCGGACCCGAAAGAAGGUGAACUAUGCUUGGAUAGGGCAAAGCCAGAGGAAACUCUGGUGGAGGCUCGCAGCGGUUCUGACGUGCAAAUCGAUCGUCAAAUCUGAGCAUGGGGGCGAAAGACUAAUCGAACCUUCUAGUAGCUGGUUUCCACCGAAGUUUCCCUCAGGAUAGCAGUGCUGAUUCUCAGUUUUAUGAGGUAAAGCGAAUGAUUAGGGACUCGGGGGCGCUAUUUAGCCUUCAUCCAUUCUCAAACUUUAAAUAUGUAAGA